rnacentral:rRNA from 1 species
AGAGUUUGAUCAUGGCUUAGGAUGAACGCUAGCUACAGGCUUAACACAUGCAAGUCGAGGGGCAGCAUUGGAGUAGCAAUACUCAGAUGGCGACCGGCGCACGGGUGAGUAACACGUAUCCAACCUGCCGCUUACUCGGGGAUAGCCUUUCGAAAGAAAGAUUAAUACCCGAUGGUAUAAAGAGUUCGCAUGUUCUCUUUAUUAAAGAAUUUCGGUAAGCGAUGGGGAUGCGUUCCAUUAGAUAGUUGGCGGGGUAACGGCCCACCAAGUCUACGAUGGAUAGGGGUUCUGAGAGGAAGGUCCCCCACAUUGGAACUGAGACACGGUCCAAACUCCUACGGGAGGCAGCAGUGAGGAAUAUUGGUCAAUGGACGAGAGUCUGAACCAGCCAAGUAGCGUGAAGGAUGACUGCCCUAUGGGUUGUAAACUUCUUUUAUAAGGGAAUAAAGUGAGGGACGUGUCCCUUUUUGUAUGUACCUUAUGAAUAAGGAUCGGCUAACUCCGUGCCAGCAGCAGC